AAGGCUGGGCGGGGAGGAAACAAGGGAAAAUCGCGGCCGUCCAUAAUCGAUCCUGCGGACGCGAUCUGUGGAUACGCGAGAGUAGACCGGGGCCGUCGAUCGCAACUUAAAAUACGAGGCCGAAAAGAAACUCUCGAAUCUCUUCUUUCUCCAUCUGUUUUUUCACGGCUCUGUUCGUUCUUUAUUUUUUUUUCACAUCCGGGAAGAUCAAAGACCUGUAAAACCAUCAAAAUUACCAAGGAGAUCGAAGAAGAUAGUAGCGGUUAAGGUUCUGUCGAUCAUAGCCAUGGCUGGCACUUAUUUGGAGAAACUCCUCCCAGAACUUGAGAAAGCAAUGAAGAACUUUGCUCAUAAAUGCAGUGCCGUUGCUAGACUAUACAGCAAUGGCUGUGAUCCAUCACCACGAUAAUACCUCAGAAUGUUAUAAUGUAUCAGAAAGUUUCAAUUUAUUUAUCUUAAUAUUAUGGUGUACUUAAAGGAGUGGUCUCUUUGUUGGGUGACUCCGAUGGAUGUUAGAACUCUGUUGAAUGCCUGGUCCUUUAAGACGACUCCUGGUCGAAAAGCGACUGUGCUAAAGGUCCUUCCGGCAGCUAUUAUGUGGAGUUUAUGGAAAGAAACAAAUAUGCGAGCCUUCCAGAAUAUCACCAAGACUCAAGAGGGGAUCAUAGACUCUAUCAAGUGGACGGUAGCUUACUGGUUGCAUGAUAAAGGUCCCUUCAAAAACGUGUCUAUGGAUCACUUUGUAAUCAGGUGGAAAGAGGUGAUUUUCCACCGUCCUUGAGGGGGCUGGUUCUCCUUGGUGCUUGGGGCACUCAGGUCUGUUGCUCCGUUUUUGGCUUGGGAAGUUGUUUUGUGUGUAGUUGUGUUUUGCUCGUAGUAGCGUAGUUUUGGGUGGUCUUCUUGACCUUCCUUCUUUUUUUGGUCGUGCAAAGUCAGGGCUCAUUCUUCAUGUACUUUUGACUUCUAUCUAUAAAAACUUUAAAUUUACUGAUCAGAAAUAAAUAAAUAAAAUAAAUUAUGGUGUA